GCCCGGGUGGCGGAAUUGGCAGACGCGCUAGGUUGAGGGCCUAGUUCUCGCAAGAGAGUGCAGGUUCGAUCCCUGUCCCGGGCA
rnacentral:tRNA from 1 species